CCUACGGGAGGCAGCAGUGGGGAAUAUUGCACAAUGGGGGAAACCCUGAUGCAGCGACGCCGCGUGAGCGAGGAAGUAUUUCGGUAUGUAAAGCUCUAUCAGCAGGGACGAAAAAAGACGGUACCUGACUAAGAAGCCCCUGCUAACUACGUGCCAGCAGCCGCGGUAAUACGUAGGGGGCAAGCGUUAUCCGGAUUUACUGGGUGUAAAGGGAGCGUAGACGGCAAGGCAAGCCAGAAGUGAAAGGGCAGGGCUCAACCCUGUACAUGCUUUUGGAACUGUGGUGCUAGAGUGCAGGAGAGGCAUAUGGAAUUCCUAGUGUAGCGGUGGAAUGCGUAGAUAUUAGGAGGAACACCAGUGGCGAAGGCGAUAUGCUGGACUGUAACUGACACUGAGGCACGAAAGCGUGGGGAGCAAACAGGAUUAGAUACCCUUGUAGUC
rnacentral:rRNA from 1 species